AAUAAAAUAACAUUUGUACCGUAGACAGCAGGUGCGACAGCUUAAUUUCCUGCCGAGGUCAUACGAUAGAUUUUCUUUUGAACGGCUAUUGUAUACUUCCUCCAUGUCUGCAAGAUGUGGAGGUUUUUCUUUGGACGG
rfam:Bacillus sp. NRRL B-14911 1099999053102, whole genome shotgun sequence.